rnacentral:lncRNA from 1 species
AAUGUUGGGAAUCUGCAAGAAUCUUAAUUUUUGGAAGUGAUUGCUCAUCCUGGUUUGGUACAGUAGUAAACCACAUAAUGAAAAGCGUUUAUCGCCAAUUUAUCAAAUUUUCAGAGAAGUUGAGUUUAGUCACCAAAAGUAGGACUAAGUCUGAGUUUACUCACAAAACUACAAAUUAGACACAUAAUAGACAACCUGCCACAUGAAGUAGUCAAGUAGCACUGUUGGUUUGUUAAAGUAGAAUCAGAUCUUUUGCAUCAAUGUCCUCAUAAUACUUGGAAUCUCUGCAAACUGCUUUCAUCUCAACCUAUUCCGUUAGCCACUGGAUCAGCUUCAUCACAACUUAGAUCAACUCAUUUUCUGCUGUAAACCUGCACAUCCAUUGUCAACAUGAUUACAACUCAAAACAGGUUCUUUUUAUCAAAGCAGGUUCUAGUGCAACAAUAUUUGCCAAAAUCGGAAACUUAAUUAACAAGUAAAAAUAAACUAACGAUAAACUAUUACGGAUUAUAUAGUAUUCAGUUCUAAUCUUGUAAAACCAUAGAUACUAUUACAGCAGAGUGGAAACACUAAUGAAAGAACAUUACAACUGUGGUCCAAGGUACUAUUCUGAUAUAUGUAGAUGAUAAUUGUUAUCAUAAUCUAAAAGCAGAUUCUAAGAAGCAAUUAACAAAGCUGUCAAAACAUAACUGCGUAUAUUUUUUCUGGGAUGUUUGAUCGUAAAUAUUCUGGGAAGUGACUUGAACUCCAACAUGAAUCCAAACUGACUCUGUACCACGAGGCAUUUGAUGUGAACUUCAAUUCAAAUAUCACAAAGUUUGUUAUAGUAACAGUUCAGAUAGCACUAUAACAGAAGAGGAAGAAAAUAUAUGAAAAGUAAUGACAUGGGAAUUUUUAUACAAGACAGUUUGGUUAGGGAAUUGGUACUUACAAACCCAACAGUUAAUAAUCCUGUGCCACACAAUUUGAAUCUCUAGGAAGCAUUUGUAACUGUUUAGUAAUCAUUUCCUUCAUUUUGGCUCGGGACCAAACAUCGAACAUCGAUAUCGAAUCUUUCGUGUAUCCUCACUUUGAUAAUCAGUUUAUCCAUGACUCGUGCAUUUUCCAUUGCAAAAAGUUACAUAAAAGAAACCCAAAGGGCAUAAUAGGAUACUUACCGAAAACAUGAAAAUAAAAGUUUUAUAACAUUUACCUCAUAUUAUUUCCCAAAAUCAUAUAGUUGGAAUGGCGAAAACUAUCCAUGUAACCUUAUAAAAAGAGUACAUCUUCCUCUUAAUACAUAGACAGUAUUACCUCCAAGAGAUAACAGACACAACCUUCUG